rnacentral:tRNA from 1 species
GGGGAUAUAGCUCAGAGGUAGAGCACAUGCUUAGCAUGCACAAGGUCCUGGGUUAAUCCCCAGCACCUCCA